rnacentral:tRNA from 3 species
AAAUCCGUCGACUUAUAAAAUCGUGAGGGUUCAAGUCCCUCUAUCCCCA